UAGAGGAAAGAAUUCUUAGGCAACAA
rnacentral:piRNA from 1 species